rnacentral:rRNA from 1 species
UCUCUCUGAAUCUGCGUACGGCUCCGCACACCAGUUGUAAACCAAAGCAAGCAAGCCCGGUCUCGACGCCUUUCGGGGCUAGGGGCCGGGCUACAAGGAUAACCCUGGUAAUUCUGAGGCUAAUACUUGACACAGAACCUGCCGACUGGGUCUCGGCCCGGGAAGCAGGGGAUGUGCGACUAUCGGGCCAACAAAACCGGAAAGAGCGCACGUUCAGACCACUUAAAAAGGCCACGGGUCCUUCGGGAUCCGGGGCUGUGGCUCUUGCAGCGUGCUUCUGACCUAUCAACUAGACGGCAGCCUAAGGGACAUGCUUUGGUGACAACGGGUACAGAGGAUAAGGGUUCGAUCCUGGAGAGUGGGCCUGAGAGAUU